AUCAGUCAGUUCAAGACACGAGAGAAUUGAAACACCACCUGGGCAUAGAGAGUCCAGUCAAUAAGAAAGUCCUGGUUGCAGCAUCACCUUACACCUGAAUACAGGAAGUCCUAGUGCAAUCCAAUACCCAGUAGAAGGUAAAACAAUGACAUAAACCCUUUCAAUCUAACAAAUCAACAAAUACAAAUCCAUUAAUAAUUAAUUUUAUUUAAAACAUCCGUUAGAGAGAGAAAUACACCACUCUUCAACGGCAUGAUACUUGUUCCGAGUGCUGGAUUCAAAUAUACCUGGGUUGGCUGAGCGCCCCGUCAACAUCCUCCUCCUUAGAUUUUUGCAGGUCUGCAUACUGUGAUGCUCAUUUACCACCUGAAAACCUGAAAGAAUUCUUGCCACGUCUACUUCCGGUUUUGCUUUCAAAUAUGGUUUAUGCUGAUGAUGAUGAUGAGUCACUUCUCGAAGCCGAGGAGGAUGAGUCUCUCCCAGACAGGGACCAAGUUUAUACUUUAUAAUUUUCAUUUUUGAAUAUAUGUGUGUUCAUCUAUUGUUUGUUCUGAAAUCAUGUUGUCUUGCUUGAUAUAUUUUAUGGAGUUAAUCUAUGUACACCACAGGAUCUAAAACCUCGUUUUCAUUCAUCACGGUUUCACGGAUAAGAAAACUUGGAAGAUGAUGAUGAUGACAUAGUUAAUGUAUGGAAUUUGCGGAAGUGCAGUGCAGCGGCGCUUGAUGUUCUCUCCAACGUGUUUGGGGAUGAGAUUCUUCCAACUUUGAUGCCUAUUAUUCAGGCAACAUCAAUUUAGUUCACAUAGCUGCUAAGAUUUAAUUUCAAUGAAUCUAAAAUUUUCUGCUAGUAGCUCUGCUUUCAAGUACAUGUUUUGGUUCUCAAGAAUUUUUGCAGGCUAAGUUGGCAACUACUGGCGAUGCAGCCCUGUUUUGGCUCUUGGUGCUGUUGCAGAAGGUUGCAUUAAUGGCCUUUACCCUCAUUUAUCUGAGAUUGUGGCGUUUCUUAUCCCACUUUUAGAAGAUAAGUUUCCUCUAAUAGGAGUAUUUCUUGUUGGACACUUUCUUGAUUCAGCAAAUUUAUUGUUCAGGGUUCAUUAAUGAGUCCCCAUGACUACCAUUGCAAUCUAGGUCCAGAUGGUCGGAGUAGGGAUGCUGAUGAGAGAUUGGAACUAUGUGACCUUUUUUCACUUCAAAGGAAUACAUGGGUUCAUUAAUGAGACUCCCGUGACUACCAUUGCAAUCUAGGUCCAGAUGGUUGGCGUAGGGAUGCUGAUGAGAGACGUGAACUGUGUAAUUUGUUGCUUCAAAGGAAUACAUGGAAGAAAAUGGAAAACAAAAACGAAAAGGAAGACUUAGAGAUAAUCGAUUACAAGAUUGAAACUUGCGAUCAAGAAAUUGAGUCUUUAAGGCCGGUGCGUGUCCAAGCAGAACCUUGACUUCACCAGAUCUUCAUCUUCCACAAUUGCUAGUCUCCAGCUUCAAUUGGUUCUGGUCAGCGAAAUAUGUUGAGGAGGGGAACUGACUGAGUAUUGUUUCCACAUAAUCAGAUUUUUGGUGUUUGAGAUGAAGAAGCUGAGUCACCAGAAGAAAAAAAACCAGGGGAUGUCAUGCCCAUUGAUUAGCCAUUGGUUUUGUCUGGUAAUGGCAUGGUGUCGGUGCUGAACCUGUUUUGUUUUGGUUUUCGAAUUUUCCAGUGUUUCCCAAAACCAAAGCAUUGGCUCCCUGAAAAUGUUGCAGUUGUUUUCCAAGGCCAGUUGUAUUCCACUACUCGGUCAUGGGUCAAUUUAAGUCUCAAUUGUUGUAGAAUGGGGCUGAAACUAUAUUGUAUCUACAUUUGGGUUAGACAAAAGCCCAAGAUCCUUUAAUUCUAUUGUUUGAGAAAUUUCGUAUUUGUUA